rnacentral:rRNA from 1 species
UGGGGAAUCUUCCGCAAUGGACGAAAGUCUGACGGAGCAACGCCGCGUGAGUGAAGAAGGUUUUCGGAUCGUAAAACUCUGUUUUCAGGGACGAAUGUGCGAUGUGUAAAUAAUGCAUUGUAAUGACGGUACCUGAGUAGAAAGCCACGGCUAACUACGUGCCAGCAGCCGCGGUAAUACGUAGGUGGCAAGCGUUGUCCGGAAUUAUUGGGCGUAAAGCGCGCGCAGGUGGGAUAUUAAGUCUGGUGUUAAAGUUCGGGGCUCAACCCCGUGAAGCAUUUGGAAACUGAUAUUCUUGAGUGCAGGAGAGGAAAGUGGAAUUCCUAGUGUAGCGGUGAAAUGCGUAGAUAUUAGGAGGAACACCAGUGGCGAAGGCGACUUUCUGGACUGUGUCUGACACUGAGGCGCGAAAGCCAGGGUAGUGAACG